rnacentral:rRNA from 1 species
CCCUUAGAUGUUCUGGGCCGCACGCGUGCUACACUGAGUGGAUCAGCGGGUCAGGUUACGCGAGAGCGUUUCCUAAUCUUCAAAUCCGCUCGUGAUGGGGAUUGACGGUUGCAAUUUUCCGUCAUGAACGAGGAAUACCUUGUAAGCGCGGGUCAUCAUCCCGCGCUGAAUACGUCCCUGCCCUUUGUACACACCGCCCGUCGCUCCUACCGAUUGAGUGGUCCGGUGAGGCUUUGGGAUCUAAGCGAAAAGAGCGUUUCGCUCCUCUUGCUGGGAGAACUCAGUCGAACCUUAUCAUUUAGAGGAAGGAGAAGUCGUAACA